UUUAACAUGGUCUGUGCAUUCGUUCUGUCUUUGUACAGUGUUUGGCACAAGCAUCCACGCGUCGUGUGUUCAGAUCCCCUUUUGAACGGCGUCACAAGGCAGACAGGAACUCGAGAGGAUCUUGGUGGUAAGGAGUGAUUUAAUUCUAGCAAAAGGAAGAAAAAAAAGCAGCUUUAACAGAAGGAGAAAAGGGUGUGGAACUGGGGUUAGCGUGACGUGAGAAAUAAGGAGAAAACAAUGAAGGAGCUAUAAUACUGAGGAGUGGCAUAGAGACCAGGUGAGUCCAAUGAGAGAGAAGCAAAACACCUUGAGGAGAUUGCUGAGCAGGGAAACUAUGGGAAGGGGACUUAUUAACUCAGAGAGCAUCAAACUACAACACAAAAAAAGAUCUAUAAACCCAAAGGGGAAAAUACCAACAUCAAGGGGUCUAAGCAGGAAUGCACAGGGAGCUCAACACAAGAAACAAGAUUUCAACACAACUGAACGAACUGAGUAUGUUAAUCUUACAGUGUAAGAGGAAGAAAGGCACAAAGGCUUCUCAAAGGCCCUUUGUAGCUCAAACGCUUGGAUUCUGCCGAUGACAUCAUGUUGUGACGUUUACUGGGAUCCUUGCAGCGUGAAGCAGACACGCGACGCCCCACAACAGAACCAGGAGGAUGUCGACAUAGCUAAAGAACACGAAGGCCGGCAAGUCCUCCAGUGGCUUUUGAGUCUUGAAAGAGUGACACGUCCAAUUUUACACACAUUAGUAGGUUUAAAUGUCUCUGUACGGAUACAUCUCCUUAGACAGAGAAAUAAACAUGAAUAACUCGGUUACAGCAAGCAAACAAGGCCUCAUUCAUGCUCCAGACUUGAGUUAUUCUUUCACUUGGUCUGGCUCGAGAACGAAGCUUAUUUUAAAAUGACCACAGUUUUCCUUCCCCCCCGUCUCAUUCUCCCCUGGCUUUUAAUAAAGUGUGCAACCAAAGCCAUUAAGAUCCCAAAGAUUGUUGCGACGGUCUUUCAAAGCCCUUGAGAUUCCUUGAAAAUGACUGCAGUUGAGCAGGGCGUGUCAGCGUGCCCACUUCUGGGCUGAGAAAUGUUUUGGUCCUAUAGAAAUGUGGUUUCUAGAAAUGUGUCAAUGCUUAAUUUUAGGUCUCUGUACUACAAGAUCAAAUCAGGGCCUUUACUGUAGCACACCCAAGGGGAACCUUUGUCAUUUUCGAGCAUUUGUGGGUCAUGUCAUCAAAAAAA